rnacentral:misc_RNA from 1 species
GAUGAAGAACGUAGCGAAAUGCGAUAAGUAGUGUGAAUUGCAGAAUUCAGUGAAUCAUCGAAUCUUUGAACGCGCAUUGCGCCCCUUGGUAUUCCAUGGGGCAUGCCUGUUCGAGCGUCAUCUACACCCUCAAGCUCUGCUUGGUGUUGGGCGUCUGUCCCGCCCCCGCGCGUGGACUCGCCCCAAAUCCAUUGGCAGCGUUCCUUGCCCCCUCUCGCGCAGCACAUUGCGCUUCUCGAGGGCGGCUCCGGGACGCGAUCCAGCAAGAUGACCACCGUCUUUGACCUCGGAUCAGGUAGGGAUACCCGCUGAACUUAAGCAUAUCAAUAAGCGGAGGA